rnacentral:lncRNA from 1 species
UGCGAGGAAAGCAAAGUCUGGGCCAUGGAGAUGAGCCUAGUCCUGCUGUUCCUGAUCCGCACUGCCCUUUUUGCACCCCAGGGAGCUGCUGCUGAGCCCCACAGUCUUUGUUACAACCUCACGGUGCUGUCCCAGGAUGGAUCUGUGCAGUCAGGGUUUCUCGCUGAGGGACAUCUGGAUGGUCAGCUCUUCCUGCUCUGUGACAGGCAGAAAGGCAGGGCAGGGCCCCGGGGACAGUGGGCAGAAGCAGUCCUGGGAGCUGAGACCUGGGACACAGAGACUGAAGACUUGACAGAGAAUGGGCAGGAGCUCAGGAGGACCCUGGCUCAUAUCAAGGGCCAGAAAGGAGGAAGAGGAGAUAAAUAUAUGAAGGUGCUGUUUGGCACAGAAUUUAAUAGGGAAGAAAGAGACAGUAUAACUCACCAGUGCUGGGUCUCAUCAUCCUGCAAUUUCAGAACAACUAUGAAUACAAAAAGAAUUUUAAAAUCCCAGUCCUGCCUAGAAAGGGGAAGUCAUCUCUAAAUAUGGUGGCCCUGGGGCAGCUGGCCUCCCUGCCAGGCCUCUUCCAUGGGGGCCCUUUCUGCAGUGACUGUGGUUUCUUCCCAUUUUACUCUGUCCUGUGUCCUGACUGAAGCGACAAGGUGUGUCUGCAGCUGUGCUCACACCUGGAGGAAACCUCAAUGGUGACAUGAUGACCCUAGCAGCACAUCCUCUUUCCUGUGUCAAGAAGCAUCGUCCGGGGAGGUGAGAAGAAGACAGUCCUCCCUAGAAUUGAAGAACCAGGGAGAACCAGAUGGGCUGGGCAGAUCAAGCACAAACCUGAGAUCCAACUGUCCCUCUUAUGCGCCUGGGUUUCUUCACUGGACACCAGUAUGAGUCAACUUUCCUGUAAAGCAGAACAAGCACGAGAUUGGACCAUGUUAGAGGAGGAAUGGUGUCAUCUCCACUUCUGGAGAGAUCACUGUCCCCGUGUUUGGGGGAAGGACCAAGCCUCACUCCCAUGCAGAGAAGAAGCUCUGACUGUAACUGCACCUGUGGAGAGUGGAGAGACAAGAAGUGUGAGCUAUUUAUAAAGCUGAGCACCUGACUGCCACGGGAGUGAUAGUGACCACACACAGCAAGACCUGGGACAUGGCAGUGACUGUGUCCAGAACUGACAGAACUAAUCUAUCAUAUUAGAAAUCAAGAAAGUGUCUGCUCUAGGGUUGGGGAGGGUGAUUUAUGACCAAGUAGAACCCAAUGGUGUUUCCUGGAGGCUGGAAAUGCUAUUCCUUGAUGUGGCUGCUAUUUACCUGAGUGUUCACUUUGUGAAAAUCCACGGCCCACUUAUGGUUUGUCCACCUUUCUCCAUGCAUGUUGUCCUUCAUUCAAGUAUACAUUUCUGAUGUUUUGAAACAAUUCUCUCUAAGCUAAUAUAGAAUCUCCAUUACUGAAAGUCCUUAGAAAUGCUGCAUUGGAAAAAAUUAGUCCAAUUAUUAAAAAUCUAUGAAAUAAAUGCUGUGACUCAGACAUUAAGAGGAGAAUCUACAACAAGAGCAGUAGGCUUGGGAGCUAACGCAAGAACAGCUUUGGAAAUGGCUGUUGAGCCAGGAACUAGGAAUCAAAACCCAAAAAGGCCCAUGCAAGGUGGAGGGUGUGAAAUGAUGCCCCAGUAGUGCAUGAAUGAAUGAGUCAUGGGCAGUGGCUCAUGGGUUGCUUGGUCAGUCAGGAACUUGAGCAAAAUAAAGUUGGAAAACUGGGGGAUGGAAGAGAGAGGUAUGCACAGACCUCUUGACAUGGGCAGAGCUUCAGAAGAUGGUGGUUGCAGGUUUCCCCAAAUAGAGAACAUCAAUAAAAAGGUAGAAAUUUUACAAAGAGACCAGAUAAAAAGUUUGGAGCUGAAAAGUGCAAUAACUGAAAUGAAAAAUUCACUAGAGGGGCUCCAGAGCAAAUUUCACCAUGCAGAAUGGAGAAUCAGCAAGCUUGAAGAUAAGACAAUUGAAAUUCUCUAGUUCAGUAGCAGAAAGAAAAAAAAUUAUGAAGAAAAAUAAACAGAACUUUAAAGAUCUGUGAGACAACAUCAAGCACAUGCACUUUGGGAGUCCUCAAAGAAAGGAGAGAGAGAAAGGAGAAGAAUGACUAUUUAAAGAAUAACUCCAAACCUUCCAAAUUUGAUGAAAAACAUUAUUCAUCCAACAAACUUGACAAAUUUUAAGCAGCAAAAAAAAUUAAAUUUAAAGAGGUCCACACCAAGAGAACAUUAUAAUCAACCUGUCAAAAGCCAAUGACAAACAGAGCAUAUUGAAAUGAAUAACAGAGAAGGAACUUUUCAGGUUCAAUGGAUCCUCAAUAAGAUUGCAGCCCAGUUUUCUUCAGAAACCAUAGAGUUCAGAAGGCAUUGGAAUGUUGACAAAUUUAGAGGUCAGAAAAAAAAAGACUGUCAUGCAGGAAUUGUGUGUCUGGAAAAACUCUCCUUCAGAAAUAAUGGAUUUUAUAUAUAUAUAAAUAUAUAUAUAUACACACAUAUAUAUACAUAUAUAUACAUAUAUAUGACUAUACAUAGUACUACAUAUAUAUAACUAUAUAUAGUACUACUAUGAAAUUAUAUAUAUAGUACUAUAUAUAGUAGUCAUACUAUAAAAGCUAGUAGUAAUAUGUAUAUUUUUGGUGUUUAUAUGUGUGUGUGUGUGUGUGUGUGUGUGCAUAUAUAUAUAGUACUAUAUAUAGUAGUCCUAUAAAAGCUAGUAGUAACAUGUAUAUUUUUGGUGUUUAAUUCUUCCUUUGUUUUUCCUAUUUGGUUUAAAAGAAAAUGCCCAUUGACUAAUGAAUGAAUAAACAACAUGUAGUGUAUUUCUA